rnacentral:rRNA from 1 species
CAGGCCUAACACAUGCAAGUCGAGCGCAGGAAGCUCACGGAACUCUUCGGAGGGAAGUGAAGGGAAUGAGCGGCGGACGGGUGAGUAACACGUAAGGNACCUGCCCCAAGGAUUGGGAUAACUCCGAGAAAUCGGAGCUAAUACCGAAUAGUUCUUCAGACCGCAUGGUCUGAUGAUGAAAGGCGCUUCGGCGUCACCUUGGGAUGGCCUUGCGGUGCAUUAGCUAGUUGGUGGGGUAAUGGCCCACCAAGGCGACGAUGCAUAGCCGACCUGAGAGGGUGAUCGGCCACACUGGGACUGAGACACGGCCCAGACUCCUACGGGAGGCAGCAGUAGGGAAUCUUCCACAAUGGACGAAAGUCUGAUGGAGCAACGCCGCGUGAGUGAUGAAGGUUUUCGGAUCGUAAAACUCUGUUGUAAGGGAAGAACAGGUGUGAGAGGUAAUGCUCAUGCUAUGACGGUACCUUGCGAGAAAGCCACGGCUAACUACGUGCCAGCAGCCGCGGUAAUACGUAGGUGGCAAGCGUUGUCCGGAAUUAUUGGGCGUAAAGCGCGCGCAGGCGGCCUUUUAAGUCUGAUGUGAAAGCCCCCGGCUCAACCGGGGAGGGUCAUUGGAAACUGGAAGGCUUGAGUACAGAAGAGAAGAGUGGAAUUCCAUGUGUAGCGGUGAAAUGCGUAGAGAUGUGGAGGAACACCAGUGGCGAAGCGACUCUUUGUCUUAACUGACGCUGAGCGCGAAA